GAUGAAGAACGCAGCAAAAUGCGAUAAGUAAUGUGAAUUGCAGAAUUCAGUGAAUCAUCGAAUCUUUGAACGCACAUUGCGCCCGCCAGUAUUCUGGCGGGCAUGCCUGUUCGAGCGUCAUUUCAACCCUCAAGCCCAGCUUGGUGUUGGGACUCGCGGUAACCCGCGUUCCCCAAAUCGAUUGGCGGUCACGUCGAGCUUCCAUAGCGUAGUAAUCAUACACCUCGUUACUGGUAAUCGUCGCGGCCACGCCGUAAAACCCCAACUUCUGAAUGUUGACCUCGGAUCAGGUAGGAAUACCCGCUGAACUUAAGCAUAUCAAUAAGCGGAGGA
rnacentral:misc_RNA from 1 species